GACGAACGCUGGCGGCGUGCCUAAUACAUGCAAGUUGAGCGCUGAAGGUUGGUACUUGUACCAACUGGAUGAGCAGCGAACGGGUGAGUAACGCGUGGGGAAUCUGCCUUUGAGCGGGGGACAACAUUUGGAAACGAAUGCUAAUACCGCAUAAAAACUUUAAACACAAGAUUUAAGUGUGAAAGAUGCAAUUGCAUCACUCAAAGAUGAUCCCGCGUUGUAUUAGCUAGUUGGUGAGGUAAAGGCUCACCAAGGCGAUGAUACAUAGCCGACCUGAGAGGGUGAUCGGCCACAUUGGGACUGAGACACGGCCCAAACUCCUACGGGAGGCAGCAGUAGGGAAUCUUCGGCAAUGGACGAAAGUCUGACCGAGCAACGCCGCGUGAGUGAAGAAGGUUUUCGGAUCGUAAAACUCUGUUGGUAGAGAAGAACGUUGGUGAGAGUGGAAAGCUCAUCAAGUGACGGUAACUACCCAGAAAGGGACGGCUAACUACGUG
rnacentral:rRNA from 1 species